GCAGCUGUAGUGUAAUGGCAGCAUCCGAGCUUCCCAAGCUCGUAGCCCGGGUUCGAGUCCCGGCAGCUGCA
rnacentral:tRNA from 1 species